rnacentral:rRNA from 1 species
AUUGAACGCUGGCGGCAUGCUUUACACAUGCAAGUCGAACGGUAACAGGCCGCAAGGUGCUGACGAGUGGCGAACGGGUGAGUAAUGCAUCGGAACGUGCCCAGUCGUGGGGGAUAACUACUCGAAAGAGUAGCUAAUACCGCAUACGAUCUAUGGAUGAAAGCGGGGGACCGUAAGGCCUCGCGCGAUUGGAGCGGCCGAUGUCAGAUUAGGUAGUUGGUGGGGUAAAGGCUCACCAAGCCAACGAUCUAUAGCUGGUCUGAGAGGACGACCAGCCACACUGGGACUGAGACACGGCCCAGACUCCUACGGGAGGCAGCAGUGGGGAAUUUUGGACAAUGGGCGCAAGCCUGAUCCAGCAAUGCCGCGUGCAGGAAGAAGGCCUUCGGGUUGUAAACUGCUUUUGUACGGAACGAAACGGCUCUGGUUAAUACCCGGGGCUAAUGACGGUACCGUAAGAAUAAGCACCGGCUAACUACGUG